rnacentral:sRNA from 1 species
CAGUUUCAAUUUGUUGAGGACAAAUAAAAUGAAUAUGAGUAUCAAUACCUCCUGCGGUGAGAAUCAUACCCUCCCCAGCAAUGACUUCUGUGACAGCCCCAAUAACAAUAUCUACGUUGGGCUGUGUCUCUGGGUUUCCCGCUUUGCCAAUUUUUUCUAUUUUUCCGUCUUUGAUGGCCACAUCUGCUUUUACAAUACCCCACCAAUCCACAAUCAAAGCAUUGGUAAUCACAGUAUCUACUGCCCCUUCUGCCCUUGAAACACCUGAUUGCCCCAUGCCAUCACGG